GACGAACGCUGGCGGCGUGCUUAACACAUGCAAGUCGAACGGAAAGGCCCUGCUUUUGCGGGGUGCUCGAGUGGCGAACGGGUGAGUAACACGUGAGUAACCUGCCCUUGACUUUGGGAUAACUUCAGGAAACUGGGGCUAAUACCGGAUAGGAGCUCCUGCUGCAUGGUGGGGGUUGGAAAGUUUCGGCGGUUGGGGAUGGACUCGCGGCUUAUCAGCUUGUUGGUGGGGUAGUGGCUUACCCAGGCUUUGACGGGUAGCCGGCCUGAGAGGGUGACCGGCGACAUUGGGACUGAGAUACGGCCCAGACUGCAACGGGGGGCAGCGGUGGGGAAUAUUGCACAAUGGGGGGGAGCCUGAUGCAGCAACGCCGCGUGCGGGAUGACGGCCUUCGGGUUAUAAACCGCUUUCGCCUGUGACGAAGCGUGAGUGACGGUAAUGGGUAAAGAAGCACCGGCUAACUACGUG
rnacentral:rRNA from 1 species